rnacentral:rRNA from 1 species
GUCGAGGGGCAGCAUGUCUUAGCUUGCUAAGGCGAUGGCGACCGGCGCACGGGUGAGUAACACGUAUCCACCUGCCGUCUACUCUUGGACAGCCUUCUGAAAGGAAGAUUAAUACAAGAUGGCUCCGCAUGUUUAAAGGUAUUCGGUAGACGAUGGGGAUGCGUUCCAUUAGAUAGUAGGCGGGGUAACGGCCCACCUAGUCUUCGAUGGAUAGGGGUUCUGAGAGGAAGGUCCCCCACAUUGGAACUGAGACACGGUCCAAACUCCUACGGGAGGCAGCAGUGAGGAAUAUUGGUCAAUGGGCGAGAGCCUGAACCAGCCAAGUAGCGUGAAGGAUGACUGCCUAUGGGUUGUAAACUUCUUUUAUAAAGGAAUAAGUCGGGUAUGCAUACCCGUUUGCAUGUACUUUAUGAAUAAGGAUCGGCUAACUCCGUGCCAGCAGCCGCGGUAAUACGGAGGAUCCGAGCGUUAUCCGGAUUUAUUGGGUUUAAAGGGAGCGUAGAUGGAUGUUUAAGUCAGUUGUGAAAGUUUGCGGCUGGAUCAC